GACGAACGCUGGCGGCGUGCUUAACACAUGCAAGUCGAACGAGAUCCAAUGUGUAGCAAUACACAGGAAGAUCUAGUGGCGAACGGGUGAGGAACACGUGAGAAACGUACCCCAGACUUUGGGAUAACAGUCCGAAAGGACUGCUAAUACCAAAUAACGUCGGAAGUCCGCAUGGACAUCUGACGAAAGGGAUUCCGGUUUGGGAGCGUCUCGCGGACCUAUCAGCUAGUUGGAGGGGUAACGGCCCACCAAGGCAACGACGGGUAGCUGGUCUGAGAGGAUGGUCAGCCACACUGGGACUGAGACACGGCCCAGACUCCUACGGGAGGCAGCAGUGGGGAAUCUUGCGCAAUGGGCGAAAGCCUGACGCAGCAACGCCGCGUGCGGGAAGAAGGCUUUCGGGCUGUAAACCGCUUUCAGUAGGAACGAAACUGACGGUACCUACAGAAGAAGGAGCGGCCAACUAUGUA
rnacentral:rRNA from 1 species